UAAACCGGAAAACCUUCCCCGGACUAAAUCUUACCACAUGGAAACACCUUGUUCCUCAAAACAGCUUACUUAAAGCACACAUAUUUUUAAAAAAUACGAAUUUUUGAGAUCUCAGUCAAAUUUCCUUGAUAAGAAAUCGCCAGAAGACUUGGGAUCAUCAUCUGAAGAAAGAGA
rnacentral:misc_RNA from 1 species